UUGAUUUAGAGGCUUGUUGAAAGAAGAAGAAGAAGAAGAAGAAGAAGGUUACAAAGAAGGCGGUACAACUUUGCAAUGAAAUUCAGGGAAAAAGCUAAAGUGAUAGCAGGGAAGGCAUUCAAGAGGUUUGAUAUGGAGUUGAGUGUCAUUUUGUAACUGCUUCUGCGCAUAAAGAUGUGCAAAAGAUAUUCCUGUAUUUCUUGAUUGUAUUGGUUUGAAAAUUCAGGCCACCCAAAAUCAUGGAUCAAUAACAUAAUUGCAUUGAAAUAGUGUUGAACCUUUAAUUAGGUAAUGACAAGGAAUGUUGAUGAAAUUCAUCCAUUGCUCUGUUGAACUGCAAGUAUAGGUGUCUUGAGAUUGAUUUGAUGGCUUCUAUAAGAGAAAGUUGUUUAAUUUAAUGUGCGAUUUGGGUAAAGUGUCAUUGACAUAAUAGUAGUUAAGUUGAUAAUUGAUUCUAGUAGAUUUUUGUGUUUGAACAUGGGAUCAACAAUAUGGGGAGAAUUAUAAAGUAUCUGUAUCUCGAAAGGUACAACAGCUCAUGUUAUCUUAAGACGUUUGAAAUGAUGCUGCUAAUAGUGAGUAUGAAUGUAUCAUAGAAUUAAAUAGUUAAGGCAACAUGAACAUGUAUAGAUCAUACCUCAUUUAAGUUAAACUUGUCAAGAAAAGGAUGCCUACUACAUAAAAAAUUUAUUUCCUCUACAAGGAAAGGAUUGUUUGCUGCUGCCCUCGCCGAGACAAUAAAAGGAGACAAGGAGGAGCUGAUGCAGUUCGGGCCGAGGAGACAAAAACUCGGAAAAUCUCAGGAUAAGGAGGUCAGAGCCGAAGUCAGGGUAAAUUGAUCAAGGUAUCGAGGCUCAAGCUGAGAAGCAGCCGAGGCAUCAGGUCGAAGAAGCGAUCGAGUCAAGGGCUGAGGCGAGUCGAGGAAAUCGAAGUUGAGCUAAGGCUCGACGAGUUUUGGUCCGUUGAUGGUGAAGGGUGUCGACGCGGCGACAUUGAGUUGUGUCGUAGGCUGGAGUGGUGAAGGAGAUCACGGCGUGACUAUGGCAGUUGUAGUCGUAGGAAAUCGAAGGAAUGAAGAAGAUUUAGAGAGAAUGUGGCCGAAGGCGGCGAUGGCACUGGGAAUCGAAGGAUGCGGCGGUGGCCUUUGGGGUAGUGUUUAUAUAUAUAUAUAGAGGUGCACUAAAAUAAAAACCAAGAUUAGCCUAUAAAAUAAGAGCCAAUGUAGGCCAUUGGAUUAUCUUAAUUGGACGGUCAGGUCUUGAUUUAAUUUUCUCUAGCUAAUUAACGUCAAUUUAGGUAAUAGGGUAGAUAUGUAAUUACAUAAUUCUAAUAACCACCUCACCCUUAUUAUAAGGGAUUACAUUUAAACCAAGAUUUAACAUUCCCUAAUAUAAAAUCUGUGUAACUAAUACAUGUUCCAGAAGGAGAAAAAUAAGAAAACCCUGCCAACAGAUUCAAGAACACGCCCAGAAAUUCAUGGAGGACACUAAUACGCAAUUUCACUAUUCACAAUUUAUAGAUAUAAUUCAUAUAUUUUUUUCACUAUGUUGACAUAGUUCAUGGGUUAUGUGGUAUUGUUCACUCAACAAAUAUACUACGACUAANCAUGUCCCUACUGCUUAUGAAAGAGCUUAAAGCUCACUUAUCGUGUGGCUUAUGAAAGAGCCUAAAGCUCACUUGCCCUUGUUACUUAUAAAAGAGCAUAAAGCUCACUUGCCCAUGCUGCUUAUUGAAAAACUUAAAGCUCACUUGUCCCUGUCAUUUGUAAUAGAACUUGAAGCUCACUUAUCCUCAUUGUUAAUUGAAGAGCUUAAAGCAGAAAGCUCACUUGUCCCUGCUGCAUAUUAAACAGCAUAAAGCUCGCGUGUCCCUGUGGCUUAUAGAAAAGCUUGAAGGUUAGUUGUCCCAGUCUCUUAUAGAAGAGUUUAAAGCUCACGCUCCCUGUUGCUUAUAAAAGAGAUUAAAAUAAUCUUGUCCAUGUCCCUAAUAGAACAACUUAAAGCUCACAUAAAAGAGCAUGUAGCUCACGUGUCCAUAUGGAUAUAAAAUAGCAUAAAGCUGAACGUUUCCUUCCCAUUUAUGAAAAAGCUUAGAGGUCACUUGUCCCUCUCGCUUAUAAAAGGGCUUAAAGCUCACGUGUCCCUGUUGUUUAAUAAAGAGCUUAAAGCUGACUUUUCUCUGCCACUCGUACAAGACCAUAAAGCUUACUUGCUCGUGCCGCUUAUAAAAGAGCGUAAAGCUCACUUGUCGCUGUGAUUUAUGAAAGAGUUUUAACGCUCACUUGUUCCCAUCAUUAAUUAAUGAGCUUGAAGCAUAACGUUCACGUGUCCCUGCCUGCUUUUUAAAGAGCAUAAAGCCCACUUGUCCUUAUGGAUUAUGGAAAGCUUAAAGGUUGCUUGUCCCUGUCUCCUAUAGAAGAGUUUAAAGCUCAUGUGUCCAUGUUGCUUAUAAAAGAGAUUAAAAUAAACUUGCCCUGUCGCUAUAAAAGAGCUUGAACGCUCACGUGUCCCGAUGUUGAUUAUAAAAGAGCUUAAAGCUCACUUGUCCUCGUCGCUUGCAAAAGAGCUUAAAGCUCACUCGUCCCCCUCCCUUACCCCCGCGCGCUUAUGAAAGAACUUAAAUGCUCGCAUGUCUCUGCUGCUUAUAGAAGAGCUCAAAGUUCUGGGGUCUGUGUAUAUAAAAGAGCUUAAAGCUCAUGUGUCCCGGUUGCUUAUAAAAGAGCUUAAAGCUCACUUGUCCCUCACGUUUAUAAAAAAGAGCAUAAAGGUCACAUGUCUUUAUCGCUUCUUAAAGAGCUUAAAGCUGACUUGUCCCUAUGGCUUAUAAAAGAGCUUGAAGCUCAUUCGUCCUGCUGCUUGUAAAAGUGUAUGAAGCUCACGUGUCCCUGUGGCUCAUAAUUGUCCCUGUAGUUUAUAAAAGGGCUUAAAGCUGAAUGCUCAUGUGUCCUAUUGGCUUAUAAAAGAGUUUAAGGCUCACGUGUCCCUUCUUUUCACAGAAGAGUUUAGUGCUCAUGUGUCCCUCUUACUUACAAAAAAGCGCAAUGCUCAUGUGUCACUCCUAAGCAAGAGCUUAAUGCUCACAUGUCCCUGGUGCUUAUAAAAGAGCUUAAAGCUCAUGUGUCCCGGUUGCUUAUAAAAGUGCUUAACACUCACGUGUCCUUGCUUAAAAAAGAGUUUAAUGCUCACCAUUCAACACGGCUGGGCUGUAAUCAUUUUAAACCAUGCUUCCAGAGAAUGAUCUCCGUUUUCUGCCCAAGGGGAUGAAGAAAUGCCCGUGUGGAUUGCAUGCCACAAAGCUUCUGCGUGUGUUGUAGAUGAUGUAAAUAAGUCAAGUGGGAUUUUGCAAGCCAAGCUCGCUCUAACUCGUAUGAUUAUGACUCAACUCUACUCGAUUUGGUUGGAAUCCUUUACAAUGCCAACCUAUAAAAUUUGUGUGAAAUAUAUCUAUAUAUACUUAUAAAUUAAUAAAACUGAGUCAGACUUUUCUGCAUAAUAUGUCAACCUUUAGCUGAUUUUCCAGCUGCAAAGUGAUGAAAAUUUUGGUAGCCUGACUUUUUUCCCCAAUGUAAAUCUGAUGCCUAUCAUCUUUUACGUAAUGCUUAAUGUAUUCCAAUUUCAAUGUGAAGUCCAUUUGUCUUUAACCAAGCUUAAGCGCCAUUUUUAUGUUUAGAUGCAUCUGUUUGUACUAUAAAUAUCAAUUUUCACUAGUGCUUCUAUAGAGAUGAAUCAUCUAAUAACAUAAGUGUCUUUGGUCUAACAAUUUUAACGACAUAUAUUCAAAAGUUUCGUCUUGGCAAUUUAAUCUGUUGGAAGUAAGUAGUUUGUUCUCAUCUUUUUCUUCUUUUAUUCAUGUUUUUAAAAAUCUUGUCGUACCAAGGAUUGAUUUAGAGGCUUGUUGAGAGAAGAAGAAGAAGAAGAAGAAGAAGGGUUACAAAAAGGCGGUGAACAACUUGACAAUGAAAUUCAGGGAAAAAGCUAAAGUGAUAGCAGGGAAGGCAUUCAAGAGGUUUGCUAUGGAGUUGAGUGUCAUUUUGUAACUGCUUCUGUGAUAAAGAUGAAUUCGGGGCAAAAGAUAUUCCUGUAUUUCUUGAUUGUAUUGGUUUGAAAAUUCAGGCCACCCAAAAUCAUGGAUCAAUAACAUAAUUGCAUUGAAAUAGUGUUGAACCUUUAAUUAGGUAAUGACAAGGAAUGUUGAUGAAAUUCAUCCAUUGCAAGUAUAGGUGUCUUGAGGUUGAUUUGAUGGCUUCUAUAAGAGAAAGUUGUUUAAUUUAAUGUGCGAUUUGGGUAAAAUGUCAUAUUGACAUAAUAGUAGUUAAGUUGAUAAUUGAUUCUAGUAGAUUUUUGUGUUUGAACAUGGGAUCAACAAUAUGGGUAGAAUUAUAAAGUAUCUGUAUCUCAAAAGGUACAACAGCUCAUGUUAUCUUAAGACGUUUGAAAUGAUGCUGCUAAUAGUGAGUAUGAAUGUAUCAUAGAAUUAAAUAGUUAAUGCAACAUGAACAUAUAGAUCAUACUCAUUUAAGUUAAACUUGUCAAGAAAAGGAUGCCUACUCAUAAAAAAUCUAUUUCCUCUACAAGGAAAGGAUUGUUUGCUGCUGCCCUCGCCGAGACAAUAAAAGGAGACAAGGAGGAGCUGAUGCAGUUCGGGCCGAGGAGACAAAAGCACUGGAAAAUCUCAGGAUAAGGCAGGUCAGAGC
rnacentral:lncRNA from 1 species